rnacentral:rRNA from 1 species
GGUUAAGCGACUAAGCGUACACGGUGGAUGCCCUGGCAGUCAGAGGCGAUGAAGGACGUGCUAAUCUGCGAUAAGCGUCGGUAAGGUGAUAUGAACCGUUAUAACCGGCGAUUUCCGAAUGGGGAAACCCAGUGUGAUUCGUCACACUAUCAUUAACUGAAUCCAUAGGUUAAUGAGGCGAACCGGGGGAACUGAAACAUCUAAGUACCCCGAGGAAAAGAAAUCAACCGAGAUUCCCCCAGUAGCGGCGAGCGAACGGGGAGCAGCCCAGAGCCUGAAUCAGUGUGUGUGUUAGUGGAAGCGUCUGGAAAGGCGCGCGAUACAGGGUGACAGCCCCGUACACAAAAAUGCACAUGCUGUGAGCUCGAUGAGUAGGGCGGGACACGUGGUAUCCUGUCUGAAUAUGGGGGGACCAUCCUCCAAGGCUAAAUACUCCUGACUGACCGAUAGUGAACCAGUACCGUGAGGGAAAGGCGAAAAGAACCCCGGCGAGGGGAGUGAAAAAGAACCUGAAACCGUGUACGUACAAGCAGUGGGAGCACGCUUAGGCGUGUGACUGCGUACCUUUUGUAUAAUGGGUCAGCGACUUAUAUUCUGUAGCAAGGUUAACCGAAUAGGGGAGCCGAAGGGAAACCGAGUCUUAACUGGGCGUUAAGUUGCAGGGUAUAGACCCGAAACCCGGUGAUCUAGCCAUGGGCAGGUUGAAGGUUGGGUAACACUAACUGGAGGACCGAACCGACUAAUGUUGAAAAAUUAGCGGAUGACUUGUGGCUGGGGGUGAAAGGCCAAUCAAACCGGGAGAUAGCUGGUUCUCCCCGAAAGCUAUUUAGGUAGCGCCUCGUGAAUUCAUCUCCGGGGGUAGAGCACUGUUUCGGCAAGGGGGUCAUCCCGACUUACCAACCCGAUGCAAACUGCGAAUACCGGAGAAUGUUAUCACGGGAGACACACGGCGGGUGCUAACGUCCGUCGUGAAGAGGGAAACAACCCAGACCGCCAGCUAAGGUCCCAAAGUCAUGGUUAAGUGGGAAACGAUGUGGGAAGGCCCAGACAGCCAGGAUGUUGGCUUAGAAGCAGCCAUCAUUUAAAGAAAGCGUAAUAGCUCACUGGUCGAGUCGGCCUGCGCGGAAGAUGUAACGGGGCUAAACCAUGCACCGAAGCUGCGGCAGCGACGCUUAUGCGUUGUUGGGUAGGGGAGCGUUCUGUAAGCCUGUGAAGGUGUGCUGUGAGGCAUGCUGGAGGUAUCAGAAGUGCGAAUGCUGACAUAAGUAACGAUAAAGCGGGUGAAAAGCCCGCUCGCCGGAAGACCAAGGGUUCCUGUCCAACGUUAAUCGGGGCAGGGUGAGUCGACCCCUAAGGCGAGGCCGAAAGGCGUAGUCGAUGGGAAACAGGUUAAUAUUCCUGUACUUGGUGUUACUGCGAAGGGGGGACGGAGAAGGCUAUGUUGGCCGGGCGACGGUUGUCCCGGUUUAAGCGUGUAGGCUGGUUUUCCAGGCAAAUCCGGAAAAUCAAGGCUGAGGCGUGAUGACGAGGCACUACGGUGCUGAAGCAACAAAUGCCCUGCUUCCAGGAAAAGCCUCUAAGCAUCAGGUAACAUCAAAUCGUACCCCAAACCGACACAGGUGGUCAGGUAGAGAAUACCAAGGCGCUUGAGAGAACUCGGGUGAAGGAACUAGGCAAAAUGGUGCCGUAACUUCGGGAGAAGGCACGCUGAUAUGUAGGUGAAGUCCCUCGCGGAUGGAGCUGAAAUCAGUCGAAGAUACCAGCUGGCUGCAACUGUUUAUUAAAAACACAGCACUGUGCAAACACGAAAGUGGACGUAUACGGUGUGACGCCUGCCCGGUGCCGGAAGGUUAAUUGAUGGGGUCAGCGCAAGCGAAGCUCUUGAUCGAAGCCCCGGUAAACGGCGGCCGUAACUAUAACGGUCCUAAGGUAGCGAAAUUCCUUGUCGGGUAAGUUCCGACCUGCACGAAUGGCGUAAUGAUGGCCAGGCUGUCUCCACCCGAGACUCAGUGAAAUUGAACUCGCUGUGAAGAUGCAGUGUACCCGCGGCAAGACGGAAAGACCCCGUGAACCUUUACUAUAGCUUGACACUGAACAUUGAGCCUUGAUGUGUAGGAUAGGUGGGAGGCUUUGAAGUGUGGACGCCAGUCUGCAUGGAGCCGACCUUGAAAUACCACCCUUUAAUGUUUGAUGUUCUAACGUUGACCCGUGAUCCGGGUUGCGGACAGUGUCUGGUGGGUAGUUUGACUGGGGCGGUCUCCUCCUAAAGAGUAACGGAGGAGCACGAAGGUUGGCUAAUCCUGGUCGGACAUCAGGAGGUUAGUGCAAUGGCAUAAGCCAGCUUGACUGCGAGCGUGACGGCGCGAGCAGGUGCGAAAGCAGGUCAUAGUGAUCCGGUGGUUCUGAAUGGAAGGGCCAUCGCUCAACGGAUAAAAGGUACUCCGGGGAUAACAGGCUGAUACCGCCCAAGAGUUCAUAUCGACGGCGGUGUUUGGCACCUCGAUGUCGGCUCAUCACAUCCUGGGGCUGAAGUAGGUCCCAAGGGUAUGGCUGUUCGCCAUUUAAAGUGGUACGCGAGCUGGGUUUAGAACGUCGUGAGACAGUUCGGUCCCUAUCUGCCGUGGGCGCUGGAGAACUGAGGGGGGCUGCUCCUAGUACGAGAGGACCGGAGUGGACGCAUCACUGGUGUUCGGGUUGUCAUGCCAAUGGCACUGCCCGGUAGCUAAAUGCGGAAGAGAUAAGUGCUGAAAGCAUCUAAGCACGAAACUUGCCCCGAGAUGAGUUCUCCCUGACCCUUUAAGGGUCCUGAAGGAACGUUGAAGACGACGACGUUGAUAGGCCGGGUGUGUAAGCGCAGCGAUGCGUUGAGCUAACCGGUACUAAUGAACCGUGAGGCUUAACCUU